UACGAAGGGGGCUAGCGUUGCUCGGAAUCACUGGGCGUAAAGGGUGCGUAGGCGGGUCUUUAAGUCAGGGGUGAAAUCCUGGAGCUCAACUCCAGAACUGCCUUUGAUACUGAAGAUCUUGAGUUCGGGAGAGGUGAGUGGAACUGCGAGUGUAGAGGUGAAAUUCGUAGAUAAUCGCAAGAACACCAGUGGCGAAGGCGGCUCACUGGCCCGAUACUGACGCUGAGGCACGAAAGCGUGGGGAGCAAACAGG
rnacentral:rRNA from 1 species